UACGUAGGGACCAAGCGUUGUCCGGAAUCAUUGGGCGUAAAGAGCGUGUAGGCGGCUUGUUAAGUCUUGCGUGAAAUCUCGGGGCUCAACCCCGAGCGGUCGUGAGAAACUGGCAGGCUAGAGUGCGGGAGAGGAGAGUGGAAUUCCUGGUGUAGCGGUGAAAUGCGUAGAUAUCGGGAGGAACACCUGUGGCGAAAGCGGCUCACUGGACCACAACUGACGCUGAGGCGCGAAAGCUAGGGGAGCAAACAGGG
rnacentral:rRNA from 1 species